CCAGGUCAGCUGAGCGGCUGGGACCGCCCUGGCCCCGAGGCUGCGCGGGCUGGCGGUCAGCGCCCAGCUCUGGUGGCUGGACAGAAUCGGGUCCCGGUCUGGUACCUCUGCAGGCUGGGCAAUUCUCAGCGCUUGUUCCUGCUGCUCCGAUGUCUGAACAGGAGGCGAGAACUGUGCAGGGACACAAACAAGGCAUGACUUGGAUUGCUUCACCUUGAAAUCAGAGAGCUUUGAGAAAAUCAAUCCCCUAAUAAGUAUUCUGCCUAAAGUUUGGAUUGGCACAGUACUGUGCUCACCCUUCUUGUGAUAGAAGAGGAUAAAAUGCCUGCGUGAUGGGAUUAACUGAGGUAAAUGUGACAUACUUAGGCUACUAUUGACCUCCUGACGAUGUAACAGGAUGAUCUGCUUCUGGACCACAGUUGACGAGGAACUAAGACUGUGGGUAAGGAAGAACUACUUUUCUAUAGUAUAUUGUAGUUUUUUUUUUUUUUUUUACUUUUGGCGUUAAAAAUAUAGCAAGAAAUAUUUUUGGUAAAGUCCACCGUUUAGACUUUAAAUAUUUGGCCACCUAACAAUGUGCCUGGCAGUCAUCACUAGAUUGAGGAAUAUAGCAGAACAAAAACAGACAAAAUCUCUAACAGAGCUUACAUUCUGGGAUAGGGUUGAAGAAACAAUAAAUAUUACAUGCAAGUUGUAUAAUAUUGAAUAGGCCAUGGCACACUCUACA